GAUGAACGCUGGCGGCGUGCCUAAUACAUGCAAGUCGAGCGAACAGACGAGGAGCUUGCUUCUCUGACGUUAGCGGCGGACGGGUGAGUAACACGUGGAUAACCUACCUAUAAGACUGGGAUAACUUCGGGAAACCGGAGCUAAUACCGGAUAAUAUAUUGAACCGCAUGGUUCAAUAGUGAAAGACGGUUUUGCUGUCACUUAUAGAUGGAUCCGCGCUGCAUUAGCUAGUUGGUAAGGUAACGGCUUACCAAGGCAACGAUGCAUAGCCGACCUGAGAGGGUGAUCGGCCACACUGGAACUGAGACACGGUCCAGACUCCUACGGGAGGCAGCAGUAGGGAAUCUUCCGCAAUGGGCGAAAGCCUGACGGAGCAACGCCGCGUGAGUGAUGAAGGUCUUCGGAUCGUAAAACUCUGUUAUUAGGGAAGAACAAAUGUGUAAGUAACUGUGCACAUCUUGACGGUACCUAAUCAGAAAGCCACGGCUAACUACGUG
rnacentral:rRNA from 1 species